rnacentral:rRNA from 1 species
GGAGGAUCAUUAGAAUGAAAUCAGAAACUUCAGGGAAGAAGGGAACCGGCACGGUGACCACCCCUGUCGGGCCACCCAAUACCUGCGAAAUGCCACCGUCCUAGCGGCGGCAGACGAAGAACAACAAGAAGAACAAAAUAGAAACAGGCACGAUGGCCCGUUCACCUUCACAUAUAACCCUCCGAGUACCACUUCCACGUUGCUUCCCCGCAAAUUCACCUCUCCGGUGAGAGCGGGGGAGGUCCGCAUCAAUUUCACCUUUACGUAACAGCAGUCAGACAGCCAUCCAUGGAAACAAUAAAACUUUCAACAACGGAUCUCUUGGUUCCCGCAUCGAUGAAGAACGCAGCGAAAUGCGAUAAGUAAUGUGAAUUGCAGAAUUCAGUGAAUCAUCGAAUCUUUGAACGCACAUUGCGCCCUCUGGUAUUCUGGGGGGCAUGCCUGUUCGAGCCUCAAUGAAAACUCUCCUCCAAUGCUGGUGUCUUCCAUCGCAUGGGGGGUCCUGGAGGAUGUCCACACGCUUAACCAUGUGCGCACCGCUCAAAUUCAGUGUCUGCGAGCCUGAGGAUUGCGGUCGACGUAGUGAGAUUCAAUCUCGUUGACUGUCAAACCCAACAGAGGCAACGGGACCUUAAGCGCUGUGGCGCCAACAUCAAGACGGUUGAGCUCGAAUCAGGUAGGGAUACCCGCUGAACUUAAGCAUAUC